CAUCGUUAUUUUCAUGUUUAUGGGUGUCAUGGCCGUGGAUUUUGUCCCAUGGGCGCUGCCAUCUUCCAAAUUGAAGAUUUUUUGGCAGAAGUAUUCAGGCGUCCGUGUGAGUCAUAUCGAUCUUCGUGAUUGUUGAAAAGUAGUGUCCGCGGUGGUUUUUCUACCACCCCUCCCCCCUUUUAUGGAGGGAUACCGGGAUUGCGGCCUACUCCCGUUCAGGACCUCUUGCCGUAUUUUAAAAUACGGUCCUCACACGGGUCGGCUCGGAAGUCAAAAUGGCUUCCGAGUCUAAAUGCCAAGGACACCCCGUCGUCCGAUUCCGGACGAAUCCCUCGGGCCUCCGGCCCUAAUUACCCAGGAGGGCCUCUCUCGGCACGGU